CCCCCCGACAAAAGAAAAAUGUAUUUUUUUUUCUCAGGGUUGAAUUCGCUUUACAAUAUAUAUGCACCAACUCAUAUACCAUCUCAAAACACAGCAUGAAAAAUUACAAUUAUCUGACGUUGCGAAAUCUCAACUUUUGAAAGUUAGUAGUUAAAUAUAUUUUUACAGAUCCGAAAUUGUUUCGUGAUACAUGUAUCAUUGAGUAAUAAAUUCAACAGAGCCCCUAACUCUUACAAUAUUGUGAAAAUGUCCUAUAAUGAUCACAUUUCAUAAGUUGCAAGUUUCAAAAAAAUAUAUCAACUAUCUCUCACAGAACCAAACCCAUUUACGCACACACACUCUCAUAAAAAAUAUAAAAUUGCUAACAGAUAAAACAUAUCAGAAAGAUACAAUUCACGGGGUUUAUUUUUGAAAUUAUCUCGAUAUCACUAACAUAGAUCCUAGAUAAUACACUCCUCAUAAAAGUUCCAAAAGGACGUUAACUACAGAUUUCCGUCUUUAUACCAUGCAAAAAAAUAAAAAACCAAAAAAAAACAUUCUCUCUACAUUUUCCUUAAUUUGCUCGCUAAUGAAACUGUAUAUCACUAUCAUGUUUCCUUAAAAAUCC
rnacentral:lncRNA from 1 species